GGCGGACGGGUGAGUAAUACUUAGGAAUCUGCCUAUUAAUGGGGGACAACAUCUCGAAAGGGAUGCUAAUACCGCAUACGCCCUACGGGGGAAAGCAGGGGAUCACUUGUGACCUUGCGUUAAUAGAUGAGCCUAAGUCGGAUUAGCUAGUUGGUGGGGUAAAGGCCUACCAAGGCGACGAUCUGUAGCGGGUCUGAGAGGAUGAUCCGCCACACUGGGACUGAGACACGGCCCACACUCCUACGGGAGGCAGCAGUGGGGAAUAUUGGACAUUGGGGGGAACCCUGAUCCAGCCRUGCCGCGUGUGUGAAGAAGGCCUUAUGGUUGUAAAGCACUUUAAGCGAGGAGGAGGCUCCUGUAGUUAAUACCUACAGUGAGUGGACGUUACUCGCAGAAUAAGCACCGGCUAACUCUGUGCCAGCAGCCGCGGUAAUACAGAGGGUGCGAGCGUUAAUCGGAUUUACUGGGCGUAAAGCGUGCGUAGGCGGCUUUUUAAGUCGGAUGUGAAAUCCCCGAGCUUAACUUGGGAAUUGCAUUCRAUACUGGGAAGCUAGAGUAUGGGAGAGGAUGGUAGAAUUCCAGGUGUAGCGGUGAAAUGCGUAGAGAUCUGGAGGAAUACCGAUGGCGAAGGCAGCCAUCUGGCCUAAUACUGACGCUGAGGUACGAAAGCAUGRGGAGCAAACAGGAUUAGAUACCCUGGUAGUCCAUGCCGUAAACGAUGUCUACUAGCCGUUGGGGCCUUUGASGCUUUAGUGGCGCAGCUAACGCGAUAAGUASACCGCC
rnacentral:rRNA from 1 species